GACGUAGGGCGCGAGCGUUGUCCGGAUUUAUUGGGCGUAAAGAGCUCGUAGGCGGCUUGUCGCGUCGUCUGUGAAAUCCCGCGGCUCAACCGCGGGUCUGCAGUCGAUACGGGCAGGCUAGAGUUCGGUAGGGGAGACUGGAAUUCCUGGUGUAGCGGUGAAAUGCGUAGAUAUCUGGAGGAAUACCGGUGGCGAAGGCGGCAUCCUGGACCGGCAUUGACGCUGAGGAGCGAAAGCUAGGGGAGCAAACGGG
rnacentral:rRNA from 1 species